GAGUACCAGACAAGGUAAAAGAGAAGAGUUCGUGUAAUUUGUCGAUAUCAAAGAAAAUUAUCUCACAUUAACAAAGGGCUAAUGCAUCUAUCCUGCCUUGAUUCUCAUGGGCAUUACUAUGACGUCAUCAUCCGUGCAUAAAAUAUCAUAUCAUAUCAAGGUAUUAGGCUCAACUUUCAAUACGGGUAGAAUUGGAUGUGUAAUACUCCUAUAUACACGUGCAUGCACAUAGACCCCAAGUG